AGCUCACCAUGCUCGACCUCUCCUUCAACUCUUUCGAGGGCACCAUCCCGGCGUCGCUCGCCGACCUGCCCAGCCUCUCCACCAUCGACCUCAGCCGCAACCGCCUCUCGGGCCCCGUCCCGUCGCUGCUCCUCACCAAGUGCUGCACCGACGAUCAGCAGGCGGCGUACCUCCGGCUGUCGCACAACAACUUCUCCGGCGCCAUCCCCGCCGGGUUCGCCGCCGUCAGCUUCGCGCAUCUGGACCUGUCGCGCAACGCCUUCACCGGCGACGCGUCGGGAGUGCUGGGCAAGGGGAAGCCGCUGCAGCACCUGGACCUGUCCCGCAACGGCUUCGCCUUCAGCCUCACGGCGGUGGAGCUGCCGGAGCAGCUGAGCUACAUGGACCUGAGCCACAACGCCAUCCGGGGACGCAUCCCGGCGCAGGUGGCGGACCUCGCCGGGCUGCAGCUCUUCAACGUCAGCUACAACAAGAUGUGCGGCGUGGUGCCGACGGGAGGGAACAUGGACAAGUUCGACGCCUACAGCUACCAGCACAACAAGUGCCUCUGCGGCACGCCGCUGCCGUCCUGCGGACACCGUAAUUUCUAGCUAGUUUCAUUUCAUUUCCAGCAUAUAUAUUAUUCACACAUAUAUAUAUAUAUAUAUAUAUAUAUAUAUAUAUAUAUAUAUAUAUAUAUAUAUAUAUAUAUAUAUAUAUACUGCUAGCUGGGGAUCGAUGCAUGGAUGGACGUACGAUGCAUGGAUCAAUCCAUGCAUUGAUCGAUCGAUGAUCGAUAUAGGAGGAAGCAGAUUCCUAAUUAAAAAGCAAAGCUCACACAUAUAUAAGAAGAAGAGUAGUGAAAUAAUAUAUAUGCAUGUAAUAAUCUAAUCCCGGAAUCAAACUUAUGGUAAUAAGGUUAGUCCAUGCAUAUGCAUCAUCAAUCCCAGGAUGUGGAUCGAGAGGCAACUACAAAAAUCUGUACUCUCUCUCUAUAUAUACUAGCUAGUGUAAUGGUUGUGUGCUUGGGUUUGUGUGUGUACCUAUCUAGGUAGAGACAGCUUAAUAAGCUGAAUGCAUAAUGUACUAUAUGAGUCUGUCCUUUGAGAAGUACCAACAAUAGUAAUAUUAAUUGCAAUGCUACCCAAUGCUUUAAUUUCGAUUAUCAGCGGUGAUUGGCAUAAAAUGUUUCCAUUAAUUUAUGAUUGCUAGCUGAUGUCAUAGCACAAAAACUGAUGAUGUUCAUGUGGAUCUAAACCAUCCGUAUCCAUCGAUAUGUAAAUCGGAAGAUGCAUUUCAAUGUGUUGGCUCCCCUGCUUUGUGAGCAUAUAUAUUCCGUCGAUGCUCGACCAGCUCUCACCACCAGCCAUAAGAUCGACACCAGAGGGCUGAGAUUGAGCCACGUAACCUCAGCCCACAAGCCCUCCGAUGACGUGGCUACAUACCUUGUUGACUUCUCAACCCUCCAGUGCUGAUCUGACGACAGACUAUGAGCAACGCCAUAGCUAGGGUGAACAUCUGCCACUGGCGGAGCCUCCUCCUGGAGCUGAACCUAGGAUAUAUAUAUAUAUAUAUAUAUAUAUAUAUAUAUAUCGUACGUGUAGUUACUCUUAUUAUCUUCAAAAGCUACAUUGUGUAUGUAUUCAUACUUGUUUAUCAGUUUGAGUAUGUUUAUAUACUCAUAUUAAGAUACUCUAGAUCUUACCACGCGAAAAUUUUUCAAAAAAAAUUAUAUUUUAAAUAUAUUACUAAAAUGCCACUACUAUAUUAUAUACAAUAAGUAUAACCAUAUACUCGAUGUAUGUAUGCAUACUUAACAUACAUAUCACUCUAGAUGGUCUAGUAUUAUCAUAUACUUUGUCUAUAUACAUUUCGUUCGGUCAUAUACACCUUAAAUCUAGAGAUAUAUAGAUGAGAGUAACUACACGCGUGUGUAAAAGAAAAGCCUAGACUAUAUAUAGAGAACCAAAAAAAAAGAUACGAGAGCCUAACACAACAUCAUACUAUAUUGUUACUACCUGUUAUAAUUGUCAUUGAAUUUUUCUUAGCCCUCCCUUGUUUUAUGUCCACGCUCCGCCACUGCAUCUCCUGUAUAUAUAUGCUCAUAAAAUCCACUCUCAGCAGUUUAACUCCAAUCCUUUUUUUCUUUGCUUUCCAAAUAUACUCAUCAAAAUUUAGAGGUUCUAGCUCCGUGUCAACAACCUUUGUGCCAUGGAAUAAAUGAGAUCAACAUUUUGGCCAAGGUUUUGUAAAAUGCUUUGGUUUUGACUUUUGAGGGAAAAAAACAAGGUCUAUAUGUUUGCAUUAUCGGACGCAACAAAUCUUGUAGUUUUUAAAAACUAUGAUCGCUAAAACUCUAGUCUUCAAUGUUUCUUUGCUGCUACGAUCGAACCUUCUCAACUGCAGCUAGCUAUCUUCCCACCCACCCCCACCCCCCCUCCUUUUUUGCAUCUACAACCCCCUUUGCAUUGUUUGGAAAGAACUGUAUUCUUGUCUUGUGUCGAAUCGGCUUUUGUUCGUGCUGAAUUAGCACCUUCUUGUCUUGCAAAUCCAUAAUGUUUUUUUGGGAAAGUCUGCUUGCCAAUUUGCAUGUCAACAACAUGAGAGUGAGUCAUGUGGUGCCUGAGCCCCGAGCCAAGAGUGGAGGAGCCCAAGGGCAGACACGGCAAGAUUUAUGCCGGCCCAAUUUUGAUCUACCAUAUAUGAACGGGCUGUCGUCCAUUUGACCACUUUUUUGUUUGCUCGUAUAGAUAGCAGUAUAGAUGGCCAACCGCCGCUCAACACGGCACGGCACGGCCGGCACGGGCACUAUGCGGCACGGCGACCCAUCGUGCCGUGCCUAAUAAUGCCAGUGUGCCGAAGUGGCAGCCCAUGCACGGUCCUAUCAGGGCCGGAGCGUGCCGUGCCAUCAGGCACUAAGCCAUCUUCAGCCAUGUUGUCGUCGUCAGAGUUUCCUUGGAGGUCGCAGAUCCUCUCCAUCUCUUCUUCCAUGGCCGUGGCACUAGCCUCCGCCGUGUCUUCGAAGACAGAGGGCGGAGGCCGGGGCAACACCCUCGCUUCAGCUUGACCUAGCCUCAAUCGGCUUCCAAAAGAAGAGCAACAUCAACAAAGAACUAGAUAUUGAAGAAGAUGAGUCAACAACAGAGAAAAUUGGAGCUAGGGUUUCGUACCUAGACAGCGCCGGUGACGUAGACGGAGCUAUGGCCAGCACCACCAGAUCAGCAGAUCUGAAAAAAAUGGCGACAGCGAGUCAGAGAAGAAGAAGAAGAGCUUACAGAAGAAGAGUCAUGGCUGACGGCAAGUUAAGUUUCUAACCUUGUUCAUCGAAGCUCCUGAGCAUCUGGUGGAUGAGAAGAAAAGGUGGGGCCAGCGGCAAGCCGCCGUCGCCCGCCCCCGUUGGAGGCGUCGUCGCCCUUCGCCACCAUCGUCGGAGCAGGAGGCAGAGAGGAGAGGAGUGAGCGGCUGCGGCUUGGGCGCUGAGCGAAGCGGCUGCAGGAGCAGGGGGAAAUAAUUUAGGGUUCAAGGUCGGGGGGGGGGGGGGGAUGCCGGCGGGCUUAUAUACAGCAAGAUACAACGGUUAUAUCCAAUGGCUCUUAUCACCCCGAACCCUAGAUCGGACGACUGCCAUCCCCAUGUAGAUAGCGGGCCAGGCCGUUUUGCCGUGCCGUGCCCGUGCUGGCACUUGGACCGGAAUGGCAGUCUAGGCACGAGCACUGUGGCGGGCCGUGCUUUUUUAGGUCGUGCUCAGACCGACCCACCGUGCUCGGCCUAGUUGGAAAUCUAAGAUAGCAACUAGAUAAUCCAUCUCCACUCCAGAGACAGUGGUCAGCACAAGCAUGCAUGCUGCUCCUAGCUAGUCCUAUCAAGUCAGACCCAGGUCGCUUCCAUGACCAGGACAGGAGUGGCAUGUCCUGCCUGCUCCUGCUAAAGUGCCAAACGCGCCGGCGGCUAUCUUCUUGUCGAUGCUCAUAUCCAUCAGUUUCACAGUUGGCACUUGCCAGCAAGUCGAUCUCUGUACAUUGCAUUGCAUUGCUUGGCAAAGCUAGCUAGCCCAACAACAGGUAAUAUAUAUACAUGGUCCAUAGCCAGCUGCAGGCUGCAGCGACCCCGUGGCUCGUGCGCGUCCAAGAACCAAGAUGAAGACGACGGCGCCGAUGCGCAAGUACUCCCUCGUCGUCGUCCUCCUCGCUGCAGCUGCGGCUUCGGCUUCGGCUUCGGCUGCCGCCGCCUCCUCAAGCAAGGCGGACCGCUGCCAUUCCGACGACAAGAGAGCGCUGCUGGCUAUCAAGGCGGCGCUCGGCAACCCGUAUCACUUUGCGUCGUGGACACCCGACAACCCCUGCUGCGACUGGUACGACGUCGAUUUCGACGCCACCAACGGCCGCGUCGUCGGCCUCUCCAUCUUCCAGGACGCCAACCUCACGGGCACCAUCCCCGACGCCAUCGCCGGCCUCGUCCACCUCCGGAACCUCAUGCUGCACCACCUCCCGGGCAUCUCCGGCCCCAUCCCGCCCGCCAUCGCCACGCUCUCCAACCUCUCCACGCUCACCAUCUCCUACACCGGCGUGUCCGGCCCCGUGCCAUCGUUCCUGGGCAAGCUCACUGCGCUCACCUUGCUGGAUCUGCCAUUCAACUCCCUCACGGGCGCCAUCCCGCCGUCGCUCGCCGCCCUCCCGUACCUCUCCGGGAUCGACCUCAGCCGCAACCGCCUCACCGGCGCCAUCCCUCCGCUGCUCCUCAGCAGGUCCCCCGACCAGGCCUACCUCGUGCUGUCGCACAACAACCUGUCCGGCGCCAUCCCCGCCGAGUUCGCCGCCGUCAACUUCGCGCACCUCGACCUGUCGCGUAACGCACUCACGGGCGGCGACGCGUCGGGCCUGUUCGGCCGUGGAAAGGAGCUGCAGUACCUGGACCUGUCGCGCAACGCCCUGAGCUUCAAUCUCUCCGGCGUGGAGCUGCCGGAGCAGCUCUACUUCGUGGACGUAAGCCACAACGCCAUCUACGGCGGCAUCCCGGCGCAGGUGGCGAACCUGACCAACCUGCACUUCUUCAACGUCAGCUACAACCGCCUCUGCGGCGGCGUGCCCACCGGCGGCAACAUGGCGAGGUUGGAUGCCUACAACUACCAGCACAACAAGUGCCUGUGUGGAACUCCGCUGCCGACAUGCAAGUGAUCUACGUAUGUAACAAUCAGUUCAUCACAAGUGCCUCUACAUCAUUUUUAAAUAAACCAAAUUAAGGCCUUGUUUAGUUCCCAACAAAAUCCAAAAAAAAUUCAAGAUUCCUCAUCACAUCGAAUCUUGCGGCACAUGCAUGAAGUACUAAAUAUAAACGAAAACAAAAACUAAUUACACAGUUUGUCUGUAAAUCGCGUCACGAAUCUUUUGACCCUAGUUAGUCUAUGAUUGGACAAUAUUUGCCACAAACAAACGAAAGUGCUAUACAGUAGCGAAAUCUAAAAUUUUUUCACAUUUAAACAAGGAUAAAUGAUGGAGCCAUGCAACCUUGACAUGUAAGGGCAAUAUGCAUGUUUUUGGAGCAUGAGAAAUUUCCCCUAGACAAACCACGGUUCUGAUUUCAAAAAAUUGAGAAACUGAGAAUAGCACCGGAACCGGACUGUGGGUUCCAAAACAUGUACAAGUGAAUGUGUGAUUAUCAUAACUUUGAGAGCAAUUGAUUCACAAGAUGUAAAACACAAGAAUGAAUUCUAUUUUCCAAUAUAUAGGCUUUAAUUUGGACAAUAUAAUAAGUAGUCACUCCAUCUAACAUACACAAACGGCAUAGUUAUGACCAACGAUCGCACCAAAGUAGCGACUGUAAUCUUGAUUAGAGAGGAAUCAGGAAAAAAUCACAGACGUGGUUCAUAGCACUUAGACUGCAUUUCUUUUUCUCGAACACAGGAGAACCGCAAUUGCGCGUCAUUUUAUUAAGAUAGAAAUAUACUGCCUCUACAAUAACACAAAAAAUCAUUUAAAUCCUGCCUAACUCCACCCAAAGAUCAUAGUGGUGCACUAGUAUAGAGCUUAAAGUGAGGUCUUGGAAGGUCAACAUCAGUGCCAACCUAUAAUGUGGGUUAUUGAUAUUUGAGCUUAACAACAAAAUCACUCUUCACAAUAAGGCCUUGUUUAGCAGGGCUUUUUCAGCGGCUCUAGGAAUGGUUUGGAGACGUUUUCUGUCAAACAAACAGUGGCGGAGCCACCGCCCGACCACCCCGGGCAGCCGGCCUGGCUCGCUGCCAAAGUUCAAAAGGAAAAAUAUCUUGCUGUCAAAGUAGAACUCUAUAAUUUUCUAGCUAAAUAUUUUUGCAUAACAAGAACUGCCCGGCUCCAAAAAAAUCUAGCUCCGCUAAUGCAAACAAAGUAUAAUGAAAUGGCUCUACAGAUGAAGUCCCUAAAAACGUGCUCACAAAGAGUUUAGGAUGGAAAGGAGCCAAAAAUAAUGCCUUUUUUAACAUCACCUCAUCCUAAAUGGUGUUAUGUAAAAGCAUAUUUUUUAAAAACUCUAUAUAGAGCUAUUUUGACAAAGAAUUUACUAAAAUAGCUCUAGCACGUGUCCUUGGAGCUUAAGCAAAAAAAAGAAAAGAAAAGACGGCUUCACUAAUGAAGUGAAGCCAUGCCGAACAGAAUCUAAAUAAUAUUAAAAAAACUAGGUAGGCCAUGGUUACCUUUUGUUUGCAUGCCAUUAGUUAAGAUGUUCAAUUUUUCCUCAAUCAAAAAAUUAUACCUAGUACAUGGAUUAUUUUUCCCUUGCUAGUAUAGAACAAAUUAGCAGUUCCAGUGAAUCUGAAUCCAUUAUAUGUUAUCAUGUACUACUUUGCAAGCAAGAGAUUAUGACAGUACGUAGGUAAAUCUAUGCGGAUGCGUUUUUUAAAACUAUAUUUGAGGUCAAAGUUUGGAAUUUUGACCAGAUCUUCUUAGACCUUGUUUAGUUUCGAAAACUUUUUGGUUUUCAAAACUGUAGCACUUUCGUUUUUAUUUGACAAACAUUGUUCAAUCAUAGACUUAAAAGAUUCAUCUGUGCAAUUAGUUUUUAUUUCAUCUAUAUUUAGUGCUCUAUGCAUGUGCCGCAAUAUUCGAUGUGACGAAGAAUCUUGAAAAUUUUUUAGUUUUAAGGUGAACUAAACAAGGCCUUAUCCAUCUAGUCAGAGCUUUGGUUGAGUAAUUUGACCAUCGUCCCCCUUGGUCGUCUUUCACUUGCACACCGCAUAUGCACCAUGCAGGGCGGUGAGCGGGCAAACGCGGCGGCGCUGGUCCGUCGUCUUGGUGUCUGUCGGCGCUUAUCAUUCGGGCAGUCUGUUCAAUUGGCACUGGCAGUGACAGACAACCACCAGUACUAUAUAGCUAGCUAGCUGCAGCGAUACCCACAACACACCCACAAGAAUCCAAGAUGAAGAUGAUGCGCUCCUUCAUCUUCGUCCUCCUGUUCCUCGCCGCUGCAUCACCACCAGCUGGAGCAUCCGCCGACUCCUCCAGCAAGCAGGACCGGUGCCACUCGGGCGACAAGGCGGCGCUGCUGGCCAUCAAGGCGGCGCUCGGCAACCCAUACCACUUCGCGUCGUGGACACCCGACAACCCCUGCUGCGACUGGUACGACGUCGACUGCGACGCCGCCACCGGCCGCGUCGUCGGCCUCGCCGUGUUCCAGGACGCCAACCUGACGGGCACCAUCCCGGACGCCAUCGCGGGGCUCGUCCACCUCCAGAACCUCAUGCUGCACCACCUCCCGGGCAUCUCUGGCCCCAUCCCACAGGCCAUCGCCAGGCUCUCCAACCUCUCCUUCCUCACCAUCUCCUGGACGGGCGUCUCCGGCCCCGUGCCGUCGUUCCUGGGCUCGCUCACCAGGCUCAACCAGCUCGACCUCUCCUUCAACUCCCUCGCCGGCGCCGUCCCGGCCUCGCUCGCCGCGCUGCCCAGCCUCUACAGCAUCGACAUCAGCCGCAACCGCCUCACGGGCUCCCUGCCGCCGCCGCUCUUCAGCAAGCUUAAGGCGCAGGAGGCGUACCUCCGGCUGUCGCACAACAACCUCACCGGCACCGUCCCAGCCGAGUUCACGGCGGUGGCGUUCGCGCAGGUCGACCUGUCCCGGAACGC
rnacentral:lncRNA from 1 species